UCCCAGCGUGUGGAAAGACACCGAACCUAGAGCGCAUGUCUUGAGUGAAGGUAAGGUGGAACGGAGGGAAAACGGGAGGAGGCGCGCGGCGACGGGCGGCAGGGCUGUUCGGCCUUGCGUAUGGGCUGAAAACGAGGAGUUCGCCAUGGCGCGCGGGCCGAAAAAACGGUUCGGCCACGGCCGCGAAAACGGGCUAAGUCCAAGCGCGUGGAAAGACACCGAGGCUGCUACGUAGGUCUCGGUUGAAGGGCACGGUGGAACGGAGGGAAAACGGGAGGAGACGCAAGGCAACGGGCGGCAGGGCUGUUCGGCCUUGCGUUUCGGGUGAAAACGAGGGGUUCGCCAUGGCGAACGGGCCAAAAACGGAUUUUCGGCCACGGCCGCGAAAACGGGCACGUGGAAGGGCACGGGACCCUCCCGUGGUCCCCCGCGUGAGACGUGGAAGUUCGGGUGCACCCGUGAGGGAAAACGGGUCACGCUAGCGAAACCCCUGAUUCUGAGCAAAAACGCUGUGUCCAGCCAUCUUAGAUGGGUUUCGUGGGGUACUGGGAAAAUGCCCUGGUU
rnacentral:lncRNA from 1 species